UUACAGACAUUUUGUUUUAUCUAUUGGGGCAGUCACUUUACAUCAUACCAAAAAGACCGUAUAACGAAUACAGGUGUCAAGAAUCAGAUUUUUAUGGCACAAAAGGAAGUUUUCCAUUAACCUGCUUUCAGAGUUGUUAAAUACAGAACUGAAGACAAACAAACUAAGGCUACCACAAAAUAAUACUUUCAUGAUGAUGUUAGUCUUUAUUCAGCUUUAACUGACUCCUCCAGUCCAAAGGUGGAGAAGAAUCUUUCCAUUAGUUUGUUUCAGUGAUUCAUUCUGGACGAAAAGAUUCUUUUCCUACGUCUGACACAAAUUUAAUUUCUCAUUUAUAUCGUUAUUCAAAGUUCACAUAAUAAGCUUUAACGUUGUACCUUAGGCUGCGUGGAAUUUAAGAUUAAAAUAAAACUCUACUCUUAACAUAACCCCUUCUAUAAUGUAAAAAUAUUCUACAAGUUUAACAUAUCAAGAAUGUUAAGCAUUCGCUUUGGGGAAAAACUACUUCAGUUUUUUUUCAGUACAGAACCAAGUCCGUAUGAACGCAUCCCUGUUAUGUUGGGUGCCACCCAGUGUUCAUCUUCCACAACUACAACUUAGCUGCUGAGCAGGCAGAAGAGCUAAGCAUACAAGACAGCUUUUAACAACUGCAAAUGUAAGAUGCUGCUUACGUUUUUAUCGUUGCUUCUCCUCCACCCAUCCGCUGUGGCAAAUUUGCUUCUUUGAAAUCGUGAGUGUUCUCAAUUAUCAAAAUCAGUAUAAAAAUAGCAGCAUGCUACGAGACGUGAAAAGCAGAUUCAUGCAUUACGAAUUAAAAUGCAGAUUUCUGCCUUCCUUUUAUAUUAUCAAAAUCUUUUAAAGUUAACGUCAAGGCAAGGGGUAUAGGGACAGACACUGCAUAGUACAUUUUAAUACUAAUCUAAACUGGGUAUUUAAUCAAAAUUCAUGAUAAUUACAGGGUAAACAAUUUUUAUUUCAAAAUACAAGUUUAACUGGAAUUGUAGUGAUGAAAGCACGAGAGGGGAAAACCAGAGUCUUUUACAGCCCAUGUCUCUGUAUCUCACUUAUACCCGGAGCUAAAAGCUCUAAUUGGUGAAGAGAAAAUAUUUGUGGCAUUUCAUUUAACCUUUGUGAUAAUCCAGCAUUAUCCGUUUCUAAAGAAAUAUAAAUACUUUAAAACAAACAUUGAAAAUAAAUCCUUUCAAUGUAACAAACUACACUCUUUACCAAGAAUUUUCAGUCUUCUUAAAAGAAAGGUACUUCACCCAAAAAAAAAAAAAAAAUCAAAAUAUCAAUGUAGAACAAUCCUUGGAGGAAGAAAGUUGGAAUGUAAACCUCUGUUCCAAAUUAGAUAUCAUCAAUAUCUUCAUCAUCAUCUCCAAUAUCAUCAAACUGGAUUUCAUCAUCAUCUCCGGGACCAAAUGUGUCUGUUUCAUUGAUUUUAGCAUGUUCGGGAAGCUCCCCAUACGCUUUCAGACUUCUGGCUUCAUCUGCAUUAUACUUUAGAAUAACAUCAGCUUUGUUAUCCUGGUAGUCUCGUAAGCCAACCAAUAUAAUAUCAGAUGUAUUUAUCCAAACCUUUUUUCUUAGUUUCCCUCUAAUAUGACAUAACCUCUUCACGCCAUCAAAACACAACGCCUCCAGCCUUCCGUUGCCCAACAUCUUGAUCACCUGGGCAUAUUCUUGCCCGUCUUCCUUGAACACCAGCUCUCUUUUUUCUGACUCGUUCUCAUUCUUACCUCGUCGUCUGUUUUUACCUCCUUUACCUUUAUUCUUGGGCAUGGCGGCGGGCGCUGCGCCGCGCGGGGCUGCGUAAGGGCGGUCGGGCCUUCGGGCGGCUCCCGCGAGGCGGAGGCAGAACCGAGCGGCGGCUGCGCGCGGGCUGAACGGCGCGGCCGGGGCUGCGGCUCGCUCGUGCUUUCCGGCCGCCGGCGCCGAGCCUCCCCCACGGCGCCCCCCGGCGGGCGGGAGGACUGGAGGGCUCGCCGCCGCCUAGCGGCUCCGCGGGGAGGGGCGAGAACGCGCGCUCCCGGC
rnacentral:lncRNA from 1 species